rnacentral:rRNA from 1 species
GCCUAACACAUGCAAGUCGAACGGCAGCACAGUAAGAGCUUGCUCUUAUGGGUGGCGAGUGGCGGACGGGUGAGGAAUACAUCGGAAUCUACCUUUUCGUGGGGGAUAACGUAGGGAAACUUACGCUAAUACCGCAUACGACCUUCGGGUGAAAGCAGGGGACCUUCGGGCCUUGCGCGGAUAGAUGAGCCGAUGUCGGAUUAGCUAGUUGGCGGGGUAAAGGCCCACCAAGGCGACGAUCCGUAGCUGGUCUGAGAGGAUGAUCAGCCACACUGGAACUGAGACACGGUCCAGACUCCUACGGGAGGCAGCAGUGGGGAAUAUUGGACAAUGGGCGCAAGCCUGAUCCAGCCAUACCGCGUGGGUGAAGAAGGCCUUCGGGUUGUAAAGCCCUUUUGUUGGGAAAGAAAAGCAGUCGAUUAAUACUCGGUUGUUCUGACGGUACCCAAAGAAUAAGCACCGGCUAACUUCGUGCCAGCAGCCGCGGUAAUACGAAGGGUGCAAGCGUUACUCGGAAUUACUGGGCGUAAAGCGUGCGUAGGUGGUUGUUUAAGUCUGUUGUGAAAGCCCUGGGCUCAACCUGGGAAUUGCAGUGGAUACUGGGCGACUAGAGUGUGGUAGAGGGUAGUGGAAUUCCCGGUGUAGCAGUGAAAUGCGUAGAGAUCGGGAGGAACAUCCAUGGCGAAGGCAGCUACCUGGACCAACACUGACACUGAGGCACGAAAGCGUGGGGAGCAAACAGGAUUAGAUACCCUGGUAGUCCACGCCCUAAACGAUGCGAACUGGAUGUUGGGUGCAAUUUGGCACGCAGUAUCGAAGCUAACGCGUUAAGUUCGCCGCCUGGGGAGUACGGUCGCAAGACUGAAACUCAAAGGAAUUGACGGGGGCCCGCACAAGCGGUGGAGUAUGUGGUUUAAUUCGAUGCAACGCGAAGAACCUUACCUGGUCUUGACAUGUCGAGAACUUUCCAGAGAUGGAUUGGUGCCUUCGGGAACUCGAACACAGGUGCUGCAUGGCUGUCGUCAGCUCCUGUCCUGAGAUGUUGGGUUAAGUCCCGCAACGAGCGCAACCCUUGUCCUUAGUUGCCAGCACGUAAUGGUGGGGAAUCUAAGGAAACCGCCGGUGACAACCGGAAGGAAGGGGG